CCUCUGAAUAUCCUCUGAAUGAACACCAUGACUUGGAAUGUCCCAGUUUUAGGGAGGUGAGUGGUUCUGCAGGUGUGCUAGCAGGUUUUUUUUUUGUAUGCCAGCAGUCAUAACAGCAAAUCAAACCAAUUUACAUUUGAUUCUUCUCUUGCUUUGAGAUCAGAAGACGUUCCCUGAAAUGUCCCUUGAGGAGCUGCCUCCAGACAAACCAAGGAGCUUUGGUACUAAGGGUUUGUGUAGUGCUGUUGCUUGGGGAAUCCCUGCAAAACCUCACCUGGCAGGGCAGGUCCUGUUCUGAGCAUCUUGCUUGCUUGAGCCUUUCUGAAGUUCAUAGUCACAGGAACAAGAUGAAAUUGCAGUUUAUUAUGCCCACAUAAAUCUAAGAAAUGACUGAUGUAAUAGUGUCUAAUUUUUAUGCUAAUUUUUGGAAAAAUAUAUCAGAACUUUAGGAGUUCAGUUCUUGACUCUAAAUCUGAUUAACCAUUUUUCUCACUCCUUGCCACAAAGGAAUAUAGAGAACCCUGAUUAUUUAAUCUAAACUAGAUUGUUGUAAAUUAAGACUGCUUGUGCUUCCCAUGUGGGAAAAUAAUUUUUCUUAGGAAAUAAAGCAUGUUUCUUUGAUUCUUAUCCUCUUCAGUGUGGGGCCAGGCCAUCAUUGAAGCUGCAGUGAAGGUAUGUGAGCACCCUGAGCUACCCCAAAGGCAGGGCAUGGCAACUGAAGAAGUGAUGGACUCAAAAAUGUGCUGCUGAACAUGGGAAAUCCUGCAGAUACUGAUAUUAUUGCGUCCAACAGAUAGGAAGUGUUUAUUUUGCAUUUUUUACUUUAAAAGAAGAAAAAAAUGAGCCUGAAAGAAAUCUCAAUCUGAAUUACACAUCUCAUAGUCCUCAAAAGAGUAACCACUUCAGUUUAGCCAGAGAAAAAUGAGUAUUUCCUGCUAAGGAUUGUAUUCUUGAGAUACUCAUCAAUGCAUGCAAGAAUAUUACAUCGCUGUCCUCUGGGAAUAUCCAUUUCCAUCUUUUUCCGUCCCAUUCAGUAAAGCGCUCUGUGAGAAGGAAACGAUUCCCUGAAUGAAUUCUCAUUUUCUUUGACCUCUUCCCUGCUGAGGAACCCUAUAAACACAGGACAGAAUUAAGUAGCACAGGGGAAAUGAAGAUACGCUUUUAUAUUAAAAAUGUUAUUAAGGUCUCUCCAUCUGGGGAUGUUUAUUCCCAGUCUGAAGAGUGGUGCUGGUUUUUGGAUGAACCAUGUCCCUGCUUUUCAUAGGUGUGGCAUAUGAGUGAUUAAUCCUAUUGGUUGGCAUCUUUGUUUUUGCAAGAAAAUAUAUCCAGAGCCUGUUGAAAGAAAACGGAGCAUGGUCAGGAACAAUGAACAAGCAUAGUCAGCUUGCAAAGCACUGUUCCUUCCACUAGACCACGAUGCUCCAAGUCAGAAAUGAAGAGCUUAAAACAUGGGUUUGCUUGGAUUUUGGGACUUGGGGAGCUUCUGCAUAAUCAACAUGAAACUAGUGGCAUUGCUGUUGCAUGUCACUCAUGUUCUGUGUUGCUGACACCAAAAUGUCAUUUUAUAAAGAGCAGAUGUUAUUGCUAUUAAUAAAGGAUGCCCCUUUUCACCGUGUUUAGCAUUCAGGAUGUUCCUAUGGCUGGAGUCAGUUAAUGGCUUUGUUGUUGUUUUUAAAGUCUAUAAACACUGGCCUUUAACCAAACCUUACAGCAAGAGUGUUUCUGUACUGGAUGGAGAGGGGAGUGAGUCAGGCUCUCUGUCUGCUUUUGUAAGUAUUACUGGAAUAUGAUUGUAAGUUGUUCCCAUUGACAUGUGAAUAUAGAUGGGAUGGGAAUGUGGGAAGUCUGAUAUUGAGUGGGACCCCACCUGUGCCAGGGCUGUAGGACCUGUUUUCUCCUCUGCCAUUUUUAAAGCACUGUGUUCCACAUGGAAAAAUUACUGUUAUUUACAGAAAUUCAAAGAGAAACUGCUAAGGCCCAUCCCCUCUGCAGUGCUCUGGACUGUGCUGCAGAGCUACAACAAAGCCCAGAACCUGUUUGAAUGAUGUGUGGCCAGUUUCAGCCUAUCUUCUAUCCAAUUUACAGACACUCCACAAGAAAGUAUAUUCAUGUUGGGGUGGACAGCCUAACUGCUCCAUGGAAAAGAACAAGAUGUUCUCUGAGGGUCACGUGUGUGGGGGUCGGUGUGAGCAGAAGCUGGAGCACAGUGCCAGUACAAAAAAGAAGGCAGAGUCUACCCCAAAAACAUGAGAGCAGCUGCCUGUGGAAGCUGUCCUGGCCCAGGACAAGUGGAUAAGCAUGGAGAGCCUAAGAAAACAAGGUAUUGUUUCCAUAGGAAGGUUUGUUUAACUAAUAGACUUAAUUUGCCAAUGGUUAUCUUAAAUUAGAAUUUACAAUGCCUUGCCUAAUUGCUUCAAGAUGUACUUUUUUUUUUUUUUUUUUUUGCCUUCAAGGACUCUUAAAUCCCAGGAGAAUCCAUCUGUUCUGGCUUCUCUUCAGAUAGUGAUGGGUGGCUGCUGUGAUACUGUAAUUAGAUGUGGCUCCUUGAUUAACUGUGAUUCUUCUGUCCACCUGGUGAUACCAUUGAAAGGGAGCAGAGAAGUGCAUCCCAUAAGUCAAAGAACUGCAUCUGUCAAAAUGCUAAAAUGAAAUUCAGGGCUUGUUUUAUUUACACAUUACUUACAUUUUGUAGUUGUAAUUAUCUAAGCUCUUUAGUGUAUAAUCUUGGGAAGUUACCAGAGGUUAAGGUCAUGGUUUAGUGUUAGUACAAGUACAAUGAUUUAUGUCCAUCCAGUAAAAAUUAUUUUACCUCAUGAAGGAUAAAAUUUCCAAAAUUCUGUGCUGAUCUAAUACUACUCUUAUCAAAGUUGCCACAGGUUUGAGAGGCCGUUCUUGUAAACCUGUGUGUCCUUGUGUAUUAUUUCUUCCUUAUGUCUUUUGCAAAAAGGUUCUGGCCGUUUGGUUAAGUGCACGGGCCUGCUGGUGUGUAAAACAGCAGCCUGGCUUUAUUUAGCAGACCAGACUGCUGUUGGAAGUGAAAGGAAAAAUAAUAUUUUAAGUCUUGGACAAUUAGAAAUGACAGCUGGAUGUAACAGCUUGUCUCUGGAUUGGCAGGCCAAGCCUCAGACCCCUCAGUUCCUGUGGCUCAGUCUGUAGAUUGAUCUGAAUGCGUCUGUUCUUAGAUUCCAGGUCUGGACCUGAGUCAGCUGAAUUUCUCCACUGUUUGGUGAUCAUUACACUGGACUUAGAGACAUGAGAAAAAGUGCUGGAAAACUUGGAGCUGGCUCUGAAUUGACAUUCAAGCAAUAUGUGUAAAAAAAGGCUGCCAGGCAUUCACACUUGACAUAGCAUCAUUUUUUUUGCUUUGCUAAAGGGAUGGAUUCCAGGGAAGUACCAGACUACCUGUGCUAAUGUCAGUGACCAAUUUCCAGUAUAAAGAAAGAAAAAUAAUACUCCAGCCUUACUUCUUUGUGAUGGUGGUUGUGAUGGGGCUGGUGACAAAGGAGUUAGUUGGUGACUUUCUUUUCUGCUGAAGAUGCCACUUAGGAUUGAGUUUGGGAAAGGAUAAAAUUAUGAACUGAUGGCUGAAUCCUCUACACAGGGAAGCUGGGUUUGGAGAUUAAACACUGAGUUUGUACUCCUCCCUCUCACUAAUCAUUAAAUACACACGAGGAGCUGUGACAGAUGGGCCACGUUCCACAUUUUCAGAACAUAUUUCAGAAUUAAUUGUGCUGACAACAUUUUAGAAAGAGCAGCUCCAGACUCUUCUCUUUGGCAACAGUGGCUUCUGGCUGCUGUCAGGCAGAUGAACAUGUUUUUCUGGGUUUAUUAUUUUGGGUUUAGCUCACAUGCUCACAGUACUGAUGAUUAGGGGUAUGGAGGGAGCACUACCUGUAUUUAUUAACCAGACUUCAAAUACAUGCAGCCAUCAACAGCUUUUUACCUGAGUGCCUGUGGAUUUGGGACGAGGAAUAGCUCUGGGAGCAGAUAAGGAGAGGUGGGAGGGAAGCCUAGAACAGGAUCCAUGCUGUGUUGUUGUUUGUGGCCAUUAGAGAUGGCUGACAGGGAUCCAGAGGGCUGAGAUCUGGUCUGCAGAGAAUUACAGUGAGGUUUAGUCUAGACUAAACAUUUUUGCAUGCACUGAGUCUAUCACUCUUGUUCAGAUUCCUCUGCCAUGGACUAAUUGGAGCUGAUGAUCGCCUGCCAUGAGAAUUGCAAAUUCCUUUUCCAAGCCAGAAGUAGCUGCAAGAAAGCUGCAGAAUGGGUGAGAAGGUGAAAAACACAAGGAAGGAAGAUGGAAGAGGAAGAUGAUUUAUCUGCUGCCUUAAGAAACAGCGUUUAUAAGCAUAAGCUGAAGGAAAUGAUGGAAAAUGAGCCAAAAGCAUCGUGUGAGUCAAGAGGCACGGAACUGCUGCCAAACAUCAGUUCCCACCAUGACAGGAACGACUCCCGGGGUGGUGAAUUCCAAAGAAAUGGCUCUGUGGUGGCUGGCACCGGCUUCAGCAGGGGAGUCACGCAGAGACAGGAACAAGGCAGCAGCGACCCCAUGACUUCUGAGGAAUUACACCAGUUUAUACUAAGGAUCUCUCCUUUUUCUGUAUCACUGUAUAAAAAUGUGAGUACUUUGGAAUAGAUAGAGUGGGAUGAAUCUAAAUAUAUUUCUGUUUGGAAAAGGAGCCUGGAGAAGAGCAGUGUAGUGCUGUUGACUCAGGCAGGAUGGGCAGUCCCAGCACAGAUGGGGCACAUCAGUGGAAGCUGGGAUGAAAGAAAUGCAAAGAAGAAAGGCUGGGAAUGAUAUUAUAGCAUAAAUAAAAAUGGGAAUAAAGCAUCCUGUGCUGUCAGCACUUAGAACCAUCAGGAGGAGCAAGUCCAAGCCCCGGCAGUUCACAGCCUCCAUCGCCUGCAGUGGUCCUUGGGCUGGAUCCACCAAAGGGACUCACUUUUACUUCCAGUGGCUCAGUAUAAAGGCACCUCCAGCUAUUUUAGAGGAUAUUUUGGGCAAAAAAAGACAAAUAUUUUAUUUUACAAAUGUGAUUGUCAACCUAGAAUGUUUCAGGGUAUUUUCAAUGCUGAUUUCCCUUUCUUUCAUGUCCUCAGAGCUCCCUUUGAGCCUUUGAGAUUUUUUUUGCCUAGUGGAAUUUUUGAGCAGAGAGAGGAAAAGCAGUUCUUUUCAGAACUGGGGAGUGGGCUGCUUUUUCAGGAAGAUUUAAGGUGUUAGAUUCAGCAAAACCUGCAAAGGACAAGGAGUUAAUCUACUGCAGAAGAUAAAAGUGGUAUUACCAGAACAUGAUGUUGCCAGUCCAAAGGUAGCUAAAAAUUCCAAGAAUGACCAAAAGUUUUAGUAUUCCAUGUGAUUGAUUUUUCAUCUUUCCCCAGAAGGUUUUAAGAAGAAGGUUUAAGUAAUCAAGUUGUAAUGUGUGAGCCUAAAUCUGGGAAGUAUUUUGUUUUUAGUAAGGAAAAUGGAAAGUCUGCUUCUGUAUUUCUUGUAGAGCUGAUACUCCUUAUCUUCUUGCUCGUUUUUUUCCAUACCCUCUGGGGUUUUUUGCACUGCCCUGGUUGGCUCACCUGCACCUGCUCCAGCAGCUGAGGCUGGACAAUUCCCUUCAGCAAAGUCCACUCUGUCACUGUUACACUGGAGAAACAAGACUGAAAUGUAAGCAGGAAGUGAAAGGGAUCAGCCUGUGUCCCAGAGCUGAAUUACAGAAUAUUUCUAGUCUGAAUGUGGAAUCCACAAGCUGUAAGCUGCCACUCACUUUGCCCAGGGUUUGAAUUCUCUCUGUCUCCUGUGCUGAAUUGAAGCUUCAGUUGUGUGUAGAAUGAAGCCUGUGAAAAGACUCUGGUAUCAAGUGUGUCUUCCACAAAGCAGCAAGACCGCAAGUACUAAAUUAAGAGACUAGAAAAAGUUUCAUGCUGCAUGGCAUUCUAGGAAAAUCAUUAAAUGAGAGCUAUUUUAUUUUACAUUGAAUAGUGAUAGGCUAACU